UAGCUCAGUCGGUAGAGCAUGAGACCCUUAAUCUCAGUGUCAUGGGUUUGAGCCCCAC
rnacentral:tRNA from 1 species